rnacentral:rRNA from 1 species
UACAACAAAAUAAUUCGCCAGAGGACUACUAGCAAUAGCUUAAAACUCAAAGGACUUGGCGGUGCUUUAUAUCCCUCUAGAGGAGCCUGUUCUAUAAUCGAUAAACCCCGAUAAACCUCACCACCUUUCGCUAAUUCAGUCUAUAUACCGCCAUCUUCAGCAAACA